AUUGAACGCUGGCGGCAGGCCUAACACAUGCGAGUCGAGCGGAUGCAGGGAGCUUGCUCCUGGAUUCAGCGGCGGACGGGUGCGUAAUGCCUAGGAAUCUGCCUGGUAGUGGGGGAUAACGUUCGGAAAUGGGCGCUAUUACUGAUUCCGUCUAGCGGGAGAAAGCGGGGGAUCUUCGGAUCUCACGCUCUUAGCUUAGGCUAGGUCGGAUUAGCUAGUUGGUGGGGUAAAGGCCUACCAAGGCGACGAUCCGUAACUGGUCUGAGAGGAUGAUCAGUCACACUGGAACUGAGACACGGUCCAGACUCCUACGGGAGGCAGCAGUGGGGAAUAUUGGACAAUGGGCGAAAGCCUGAUCCAGCCAUGCCGCGUGUGUGAAGAAGGUCUUCGGAUUGUAAAGCACUUUAAGUUGGGAGGAAGGGCAGUAAGUUAAUACCUUGCUGUUUUGACGUUACCAACAGAAUAAGCACCGGCUAACUUCGUG
rnacentral:rRNA from 1 species